CACGUAGGCACCAAGCGUUGUUCGGAUUCAUUGGGCGUAAAGGGUGCGUAGGUGGCGCGCUAAGUCAGGUGUGAAAUUUCGGAGCUUAACUCCGAAACUGCAUUUGAUACUGGCGUGCUUGAGGACUGGAGAGGAGACUGGAAUUCACGGUGUAGCAGUGAAAUGCGUAGAGAUCGUGAGGAAGACCAGUGGCGAAGGCGGGUCUCUGGACAGUUCCUGACACUGAGGCACGAAGGCCAGGGGAGCAAACGGG
rnacentral:rRNA from 1 species